UGCAAGCGUUAAUCGGAAUUACUGGGCGUAAAGCGCACGCAGGCGGUCUGUCAAGUCGGAUGUGAAAUCCCCGGGCUCAACCUGGGAACUGCAUUCGAAACUGGCAGGCUUGAGUCUUGUAGAGGGGAUAAAAAUUGAAAAUCAGAAAAUCGACAGCUAUCAGUGUGUGGUACCGACAACCUGGAAUGCCGGGCCACGUGACGAUAAAGGUCAAAUUGGCGCGUACGAAGCGGCGUUAAUGGGGACUAAACU
rnacentral:rRNA from 1 species